rnacentral:misc_RNA from 1 species
UUAGCUUGCGCAACAACUUCCAUCCUUCAUUCCUCUUCAGUCGUUUGUUAAGGCUUUUGUUCCUUAGCGAACCGUUGGGUUUCCUGUGUUGUCUACCUACAUUAUGGUAUUGUAUUGGUUGAUUGUUGUAAUCUUUCGUCCUCUAUCAUUCUUAUGAUAAAGGAUGAACCUCGAAGCUGUCUCUUUGUACCACAUUGUCGAUACAUGCGUUGAUGUUGUGGCCCAUUGAGUGCUGCUUGGUUUCAUGGACACAGAACAUGAUGUGGGCAUGAGGUAUAUCCUUGUUUUGUCCUCCAAUAGCGUUGCGCUACUCCUUUAAUGACCUUCCUUAUUUCGUGACCGUAUAUCGGAGCGAGUCUGGUCUGUUAUUUUACGAGGAAACGUAACGUGCAUUCCUCUAAGCGACUACCUUCGCCCGUAAGGCUUCGAUCUGCGGGGUAGGUUUUGUCAAUUAUGAAUGCUACCUGGUUGAUCCU